rnacentral:rRNA from 1 species
UUCUAGCGGCGGACGGGUGAGUAACGCGUGAGCAUCCUUUCCUUCACUGGGGAAUAACACAGGGAAACUUGUACUAAUACCGCAUGAGACCACAGAGUCGCAUGGCUUAGGGGUCAAAGAUUAAUCGGUGAAGGGUGGGCUCGCGUCCGAUUAGGUAGUUGGUGAGGUAACGGCCCACCAAGCCGACGAUCGGUAGCCGACCUGAGAGGGUGAUCGGCCACAUUGGGACUGAGACACGGCCCAAACUCCUACGGGAGGCAGCAGUGGGGAAUAUUGGGCAAUGGGGGAAACCCUGACCCAGCAACGCCGCGUGGAGGAAGAAGGUUUUCGGAUCGUAAACUCCUGUCCUCAAGGAAGAGCACAAGACGGUACUUGAGGAGGAAGCCCCGGCUAACUACGUGCCAACAGCCGCGGUAAUACUUAGGGGGCAAGCGUUGUCCGGAAUGAUUGGGCCUAAAGGGCGCGUAGGCGGCCGUUUAAGUCUGGAGUGAAAGUCCUGCUUUCAAGGUGGGAAUUGCUUUGGAUACUGGACGGCUUGAGUGCAGGAGAGGUAAGUGGAAUUCCCAGUGUAGCGGUGAAAUGCGUAGAGAUUGGGAGGAACACCAGUGGCGAAGGCGACUUACUGGACUGUAACUGACGCUGAGGCGCGAAAGUGUGGGGAGCAAACAGGAUUAGAUACCCUGGUAGUCCACACUGUAAACGAUGAAUGCUAGGUGUAGGAGGUAUCGACCCCUUCUGUGCCGGAGUUAACACAAUAAGCAUUCCGCCUGGGGAGUACGGCCGCAAGGUUGAAACUCAAAGGAAUUGACGGGGGCCCGCACAAGCAGCGGAGCAUGUGGUUUAAUUCGACGCAACGCGAAGAACCUUACCAGGUCUUGACAUCCAGUAAAACUUGUAGAGAUACAAGGUGUCUUCGGACAUACUGAGACAGGUGGUGCAUGGUUGUCGUCAGCUCGUGUCGUGAGAUGUUGGGUUAAGUCCCGCAACGAGCGCAACCCCUAUUGUCAGUAGCCAGCAGGUAAAGCUGGGCACUCUGACGAGACUGCCGAGGAUAACUCGGAGGAAGGUGGGGAUGACGUCAAAUCAUCAUGCCCCUUAUGACCAGGGCUACACACGUGCUACAAUGGCGUAAACAGAGGGAAGCGAAGCCGUGAGGUGGAGCAAAUCCCAAAAAUAACGUCUCAGUUCGGAUUGUAGUCUGCAACUCGACUACAUGAAGCUGGAAUCGCUAGUAAUCGCGAAUCAGAAUGUCGCGGUGAAU